ensembl:lncRNA
AGGCAGUGAUACAGAAUCUGUGGUCGGGGCUAAACAGGCAGUGAUAUAGAAUCUGUGGUUGGUUCUAAAGAGGCAGUGAUAUAGAAUCUGUGGGCGGAGCUAAACAGGCAGUGAUAUAGAAUCAAUGGGCGAGGCUAAACAGGCAGUGAUAUAGAAUCUGUGGUCGGGUCUAAAGAGGCAGUGAUAUAGAAUUGAUGGGCGAGUCUAAACAGGCAGUGAUAUAGAAUCAGUGGGCGGGGCUAAACAGGCAGUGAUAUAGAAUCUGUGGUUGGGUCUAAAGAGGCAGUGAUAUAGAAUCGGUGGUUGGGGCUAAACAGGCAGUUAUGUAGAAUCAGUGGGCGGGGCUAAACAGGCAGUGAUGUAGAAGCAGGCGUUGAGCUUCUUCUGCGGAGGCGGUGUUUAUCCACACUAUUACAUCAUAGAGUGGCACAUUGAUUCCACAAGCUGUUGUUUUGGCAGAAUGGCUUCACUAUAAUCUGUUUUUAGACCAAAGUCCUUUUAAGACAAGGCAUGUCACUCGGCGGCCAUCUUUGAAAUGCCUCUCAGGCAUGCAAGUGCAAC